UACGUAGGGGGCUAGCGUUGUCCGGAAUCAUUGGGCGUAAAGCGCGUGUAGGCGGUCCGGUAAGUCCGCUGUGAAAGUCGGGGGCUCAACCCUCGGAUGCCGGUGGAUACUGUCGGGCUUGAGUACGGAAGAGGCGAGUGGAAUUCCUGGUGUAGCGGUGAAAUGCGUAGAUAUCAGGAGGAACACCGGUGGCGAAGGCGGCUACCUGGACAGAAACUGACGCUGAGGCGCGAAAGCUAGGGGAGCAAACAGG
rnacentral:rRNA from 1 species